GAUGAACGCUGGCGGCGUGCCUAAUACAUGCAAGUCGAGCGAACAGACGAGGAGCUUGCUCCUCUGACGUUAGCGGCGGACGGGUGAGUAACACGUGGAUAACCUACCUAUAAGACUGGGAUAACUUCGGGAAACCGGAGCUAAUACCGGAUAAUAUAUUGAACCGCAUGGUUCAAUAGUGAAAGACGGUUUUGCUGUCACUUAUAGAUGGAUCCGCGCCGCAUUAGCUAGUUGGUAAGGUAACGGCUUACCAAGGCAACGAUUCGUAGCCGACCUGAGAGGGUGAUCGGCCACACUGGAACUGAGACACGGUCCAGACUCCUACGGGAGGCAGCAGUAGGGAAUCUUCCGCAAUGGGCGAAAGCUUGACGGAGCAACGCCGCGUGAGUGAUGAAGGUCUUCGGAUCGUAAAACUCUGUUAUUAGGGAAGAACAAAUGUGUAAGUAACUAUGCACGUCUUGACGGCACCUAAUCAGAAAGCCACGGCUAACUACGUG
rnacentral:rRNA from 1 species